AACGAACGCUGGCGGCAUGCCUAACACAUGCAAGUCGAACGAUGCCUUCGGGCAUAGUGGCGUACGGGUGCGUAACGCGUGGGAAUCUGCCCUUGGCUUCGGAAUAACAGUUAGAAAUGACUGCUAAUACCGGAUGAUGUCUUCGGACCAAAGAUUUAUCGGCCAGGGAUGAGCCCGCGUAGGAUUAGGUAGUUGGUGGGGUAAAGGCCUACCAAGCCGACGAUCCUUAGCUGGUCUGAGAGGAUGAUCAGCCACACUGGGACUGAGACACGGCCCAGACUCCUACGGGAGGCAGCAGUGGGGAAUAUUGGACAAUGGGGGGAACCCUGAUCCAGCAAUGCCGCGUGAGUGAUGAAGGCCUUAGGGUUGUAAAGCUCUUUUACCAGGGAUGAUAAUGACAGUACCUGGAGAAUAAGCUCCGGCUAACUCCGUGCCAGCCGCCGCCGUAAGAC
rnacentral:rRNA from 1 species